rnacentral:lncRNA from 1 species
UGACUGCUUACUUGAACUUUGCUGUUUCAGUCGCCCAUCCACAGUCUCAUUCUACAGAAUGCAACUGUUCAGGUAGAUAAUUUUUUCUUUUAUUUUGUUAGUGUUUUAUCCCAUCCUCUUACACUUAAUACUGCACCUUAAUUAAAAGACCUAAUGCUUCAAUUUGCUAAAUUAAAAUUGUUACCUGUCAGCCAGAAAAUGUUUUUUUAUCUCUCAAAUGACAAGUGCCAAUUUUUUUAAGUAUUUCAGUAGCACCUUUUCUGUCUCUUAAUAUUUUUGUGAUGAAGUACAACUUGGCAUUUGCAGCAGUAGAUUUUAGUGAAAAUUUUCUCUUGGACUAUAGAUUCCUGUGAUGCAUUAAUAGGAUGGGUGGUAAUAUGGGUUAAAUAGCAUUUAUUAGAAGUUAGUCUUUGUGCAAUUAGAUUGUCUUUGAUCUAUAUUUGAUUCUGGCUAUUAAACAUGGACUAGGAUAUAAAUGUCUAUUAAUCAGUGAUCUUUGAAAAUUUUGCCUUAUAAAACUCAUUAAGAAUAUGGCCAAAAUUAGUUUUACACUUAGAUUUGGAUUAUAGCAAUGUGAGGAAAAGGCAGCUGGAGCUUCUAAAAAAUUAUGCUGACGACAUUUUUUUUUUUUACUUUAUUGAUUUUUAAUUUAAAUUCUUUGAGCAUUAAUAAGAUUUAACAUGCUUUCACUUUCUUAAAGUGCUAAUUCAGUAUUUGAAAAUAUCUAGUCUCUCUUUGUACAUAGAAGUAUUGAAGAAGCAAUUUCUCCUGUGACAGAAAAAGACUUGAAGAACAGGGAUGUAGUCUGAGAUCAGCAGCUCAAGUCUUGGAAAACUGGUCCUGUCAUGUAGGAUCUGCACUGGAAGAGGAAGAGAUUUGCAGUCAGCAUAUGUGCAAUCAACAUAAGGUGAAAUUAUUCAGGUUUCUCCAGAUCUUUAUAAGAAUAGAUUGUUUUCUGCAAGCUAUGCCUCAAGUGUAAAACUCCAGAUUUUGUGAAGCUGUGCUGCAAUGACAAUGGAUGUUCCUUAAAGCUUUUGUGAGGACAUUCCUGCUAUGCCUGCACUGGCAGGUGACAUGUGCAUUAUUUUUCAAAGGCUGCUUCAGGUGAUGAAUCCUGCCAUUCCCUGUGGAGAUCUCGUUCCUCAGGGUG